rnacentral:misc_RNA from 1 species
UCUCCGUUGGUGAACCAGCGGAGGGAUCAUUAUCGAGUUUAUAACUCCCAAACCCUAUGUGAACUUACCACUUGUUGCUUCGGCGCGCGCUUCGGUGCCGCCGGGGACACUUAAACUCUUUGUUUUUAUAAGCAUUUCUGAGUGGCCGAAAGGCAAAAUACAAAUGAAUCAAAACUUUCAACAACGGAUCUCUUGGUUCUG